UACGGGGGGAGCAAGCGUUGUUCGGAUUUACUGGGCGUAAAGGGCGCGUAGGCGGCCACCGCAAGUCGACUGUGAAAUCUCCGGGCUUAACUCGGAAAGGUCAGCCGAUACUGCGGGGCUAGAGUGCAGAAGGGGCAACUGGAAUUCUCGGUGUAGCGGUGAAAUGCGUAGAUAUCGAGAGGAACACCUGCGGCGAAGGCGGGUUGCUGGGCCGACACUGACGCUGAUGCGCGAAAGCGUGGGGAGCGAACAGG
rnacentral:rRNA from 1 species